rnacentral:rRNA from 1 species
UACAGAGGGUGCGAGCGUUAAUCGGAAUUACUGGGCGUAAAGCGUGCGUAGACGGUUAUGUAAGUCAGGUGUGAAAGCCCAGGGCUCAACCUUGGAAUUGCAUUUGAGACUGCAUAGCUAGGGUGCGGAAGAGGGAAGCGGAAUUUCCGGUGUAGCGGUGAAAUGCGUAGAUAUCGGAAGGAACACCAGUGGCGAAAGCGGCUUCCUGGUCCAGCACCGACGUUCAGGCACGAAAGCGUGGGGAGCAAACAGG